rnacentral:rRNA from 1 species
UACGAAGGGGGCUAGCGUUGCUCGGAAUCACUGGGCGUAAAGGGUGCGUAGGCGGGUCUUUAAGUCAGGGGUGAAAUCCUGGAGCUCAACUCCAGAACUGCCUUUGAUACUGAAGAUCUUGAGUUCGGGAGAGGUGAGUGGAACUGCGAGUGUAGAGGUGAAAUCGUAGAUAUGUCAAGAACACCAGUGGCGAAGGCGGCUCACUGGCCCGAUACUGACGCUGAGGCACGAAAGCGUGGGAGGCAAACAGGGAUUAGAAACCCGGAUAGUACCC